rnacentral:lncRNA from 1 species
CUGGGCUCGGUGCUGAGAAGAGGGGCCUGCUGCGGGAGGACCCACGCGCUCAGGUCCCAGGCAUCGCCGCAGCAGCAGGCCUAUCCAAGCGCCCGGCUCGUUCCUCCUGCAGUGACCUCUCAGGCUUCACCUGCGCACUGCGCACCCGGCGGCAGCGACCGCACUUCCGUACGGGGACACAGUGUCGCCAAGCCCCCAGCCCUGGGCCCGCGGCUGCCUCCCUGCAAAGGUCUUCUUUGCAGAUGUGAGUGGCCAAUGAGCUCUAAACAGAAGCUUUUGGAUGGGGCCUCCAGUAAACAAGACUUAUUUAGCCUGCAGACACCCCUUGUCCCUGCUUGUUCCUUUUUCUUCCUGCCUGGAACAUGGACAUGAUGACUGGAGCUGUGGCAGCCAUCUUGGAACCAUGAAGGAAAAGUCAAGAAAAUUAUAAAAACUUUGGCCCUGGCAUACUUGAGCUUCUACACCAGGGGUUGGCAAACUAUGGCCCGUGAGCCAAAUCUGGCCCACCAUCUGUUUUUGUAAAUAAAGUUUUAUUGGAAUACAACCACA